GGAUUUGUACCAAGAUCAUGCCAAGACGUUACAUAAAUCCUGCAAGAUCAUGGAAAGAUCUUGCAUGAUCUUGCAAGAUCUUUCCAAGUUCUUGCAGGAUCUUACCUACCGUGUAAGAUCUUGCAGGAUCUUGCAAGAUCUUGCCAUUAUCAUGGCAAGAUCUUGUCAUGAUCAUGGCAAGAUCUUACAAGAUGUUUGGCAAGAUCUUGCAGGAUCUUGCAAGAUCCUGCAAGAUCUUUCCAUGAUCUUGCAGGAUUUAUG